rnacentral:rRNA from 1 species
CACGUAGGGCGCGAGCGUUGUCCGGAAUUAUUGGGCGUAAAGAGCUCGUAGGCGGCCUGUUGCGUCCGCUGUGAAAGCCCGGGGCUUAACCCCGGGUCGGCAGUGGAUACGGGCAGGCUAGAGGUAGGUAGGGGAGAAUGGAAUUCCCGGUGUAGCAGUGAAAUGCGUAGAGAUCGGGAGGAACACCAGUGGCGAAGGCGGCUACCUGGACCAGCACUGACACUGAAGCACGAAAGCGUGGGGAGCAAACAGG